GUUAUAGGAUCAAGCGACUAAGUGCAUAUGGUGGAUGCCUUGGCGAUCACAGGCGAUGAAGGACGUAGUAGCCUGCGAAAAGCUGCGGGGAGCUGGCAAACAAGCUUUGAUCCGCAGAUGUCCGAAUGGGGAAACCCACUCCGUAAGGAGUAUCCCUGACUGAAUACAUAGGUCAGUGGAAGCGAACCGGGUGAACUGAAACAUCUCAGUAGCUCGAGGAAAAGAAAUCAACCGAGAUUCCGAAAGUAGUGGCGAGCGAAAUCGGAAAAGCCUUUACGUUUUAGCAUUCAGGAUAGUCGAACGGAAUGGAAAGCCCGGCCGUAGCAGGUGAUAGCCCUGUAGACGAAAUUUUGAAUGUGGAACUAAGCGUAAGAAAAGUAGGGCGGGACACGUGAAAUCCUGUUUGAAGAUGGGGGGACCAGCCUCCAAGGCUAAAUACUCGUGAUCGACCGAUAGUGAACCAGUACCGUGAGGGAAAGGCGAAAAGAACCCCGGAAGGGGAGUGAAAUAGAUCCUGAAA
rnacentral:rRNA from 1 species